CAAGCCCCGCCCGGCGAAGGGUGAGCCCGCCCAGCCGGUAGCGAGCCUUGCGACGGAGACGGCAACGCCUCCGGCGAUGCGUAGGCACGCGAGCGAGUGGGCCGUGGGGAAAGCAGCCACGAAAACUAUGUCAUCCCGGGUGCCGAGGGUGUUGCGUUACCUGAAGGCGACGGCGGUCUGUCCGCAACAGGGCGAGGACAGGGCGCACCCGGCGGGGUGUACGACCA
rfam:Microbial mat metagenome hsmat04_BHWN9962_y1, whole genome shotgun sequence.